GGCCGUUCACGAUGUGCUUUCGACGAGUCGGGUUGUUUGGGAAUGCAGCCCAAAAUGGGUGGUAAACUCCAUCUAAAGCUAAAUAUUGGCACGAGACCGAUAGCGAACAAGUACCGUGAGGGAAAGAUGAAAAGCACUUUGAAAAGAGAGUUAAAAAGUACGUGAAACCGUUAAAAGGGAAACGAAUGGGGUUAGCAAUGCGUCGUGCGAGAUUCAGCCGGUGGGUGGGCCAGGCGGGCGGUUGGCGGAUCUGAAUGGACCGCUGCCGUUCGGGUUGGUUUCCCGACCGUCGCACUUCUCGCAGGCUCGCGCCAACGUCGGUUAGGGCUGGGUUUCAAAGGCGGUGGAAAGGUAGGUUUGGACUCUCGGGCCCGAACUGUUGCAGUCCUCCGUUUGUCAUGGCCCGGACCUGACCGAGGAGCUUGCGGUGCAUGCCGUUCGGUUAGGGUCCCGUCUUCCCGGUCGGUCGUCGAAUGCGGUGGACUGCGUGCAGUGCGCCGCGACUGCUGCCGGUCGCGAGGGCGGUGAUUUCGUACUAUGCACCCACGACGUUGGCGAUCAUAUGGCCUCAUCCGACCCGUCUUGAAACACGGACCAAGGAGUCUAACAUGUGUGCGAGUCUUUGAGUGAUCGAAACUCCGAGGCGAAAUGAAAGUGAAGGCGACCUCGGUCGUUGAGGUGAGAGCCUUUUACAAAAAUAGGCGGAUCAUUGACCGACCUAUUCUACUCUUAGAAAGGUUUGAGUAAGAGCGCAUCUGUUGGGACCCGAAAGAUGGUGAACUAUGCCUGAAUAGGGUGAAGCCAGAGGAAACUCUGGUGGAGGCUCGUAGCGAUUCUGACGUGCAAAUCGAUCGUCAAAUUUGGGUAUAGGGGCGAAAGACUAAUCGAACUGUCUAGUAGCUGGUUCCCUCCGAAGUUUCCCUCAGGAUAGCUGGAACUUACGGCAGUUUUAUCAGGUAAAGCGAAUGAUUAGAGGUCUUAGGGUUAAAACAACCUUAACCUAUUCUCAAACUUUAAAUUGGUAAGAAGUCCGACUUGCUUAAUUGAAGCCGGACAGUGAAUGCGAGUUCCUAGUGGGCCAUUUUUGGUAAGCAGAACUGGCGAUGCGGGAUGAACCGAACGCGCGGUUAAGGUGCCAAAGUCGACGCUCAUCAGACCCCACAAAAGGUGUUGGUGCUC
rnacentral:ncRNA from 1 species